rnacentral:rRNA from 1 species
CCUACGGGAGGCAGCAGUGGGGAAUAUUGCACAAUGGGCGCAAGCCUGAUGCAGCAACGCCGCGUGAGGGACGACGGCCUUCGGGUUGUAAACCUCUUUUAGUAGGGAAGAAGCGAGGUGUUUAUUCACUUCAUGACGGUACCUGCAGAAAAAGCACCGGCUAACUACGUGCCAGCAGCCGCGGUAAUACGUAGGGUGCAAGCGUUAUCCGGAAUUAUUGGGCGUAAAGAGCUCGUAGGCGGUUUGUCGCGUCUGCUGUGAAACUGGGGCUNAACCCCAGCCUGCAGUGGUACGGGCAGACUAGAGUGCGGUAGGGGAGAUUGGAAUUCCUGGUGUAGCGGUGGAAUGCGCAGAUAUCAGGAGGAACACCAAUGGCGAAGGCAGAUCUCUGGGCCGUAAACUGACGCUGAGGAGCGAAAGCAUGGGGAGCGAACAGGAUUAGAUACCCUGGUAGUCCAUGCCGUAAACGUUGGGAACUAGAUGUAGGGUCCCUAUCUACGACGUACUGUGUCGCG